GCCGGCGUAGCUCAGUGGCAGAGCAGCUGAUUCGUAAUCAGCAGGUCGGAGGUUCGAAUCCUCUCGCCGGCUCCA
rnacentral:tRNA from 1 species